rnacentral:misc_RNA from 1 species
GUGAAUCAUCAAAUUUUUGAACGCAAAUUGCACUUUCUGGUAUUCGGGAAGGAUGGCUGUUUGAGGGGUAGUUAAAUAAAAAUCGGUGUUGGUGCUGCCUUUCGUGGUGACACGUCGGAAUUGGGGCGUCUUACCUUCGGUUAAGUGACUUAAAAUUUUUGCAUGAUUUUCGAACGUAUUUAAAUCGCUUACGUACGUUUGAGAUAUCUAAUGCUUAUUAGGUUCGGUCAUUCCCAUGAUUCGCGCCUAUAAUUUUUCAUUAAAUGACCUCAAAUCAGGUAAGAAUACCCUGUGAAAUUAA